AUGGUAGACAAAACCCACUACACCGAUGGCUCCGAGUUAACUUAUCAGGAGAAAAAUCAUCUGGUCGGAUUUUGUACUGAUCUUGAGAAUUACAAUAUCUACAAUCAAACUCCUCAACAUUAUGGUCAAUACGUGCCACUAGUGCACGUGUUGAACUACAGUAACUACCAUGGAGAUAUCCUGAGAAUCCCAGAGGAUUGUGUGCCUCAUUUGAUGUAUCAGAAUGGCAGCCUUCGUGUUUUGAACAUGUAUCUAGGUCAUCCUACGAAUCUCAACUGUCCAUACCAGAUUUCUAAAAGAAGUGGAGACAUGCUAAUCAGAGAAUGA
rnacentral:rRNA from 1 species